rnacentral:rRNA from 1 species
GAACGCGAAGAACCUUACCGGGCCUUGUACGCACCGGGGUCUUGUACACACCGGGGCCUUGUACACACCGGGGUCUUGUACACACCGAGAAGGGUGUCUCUUCGGAGCGAGAGCACAGGUGCUGCAUGGCUGUCGUCAGCUCGUGUCGUGAGAUGUUGGGUUAAGUCCCGCAACGAGCGCAACCCCCAUCGUCGGUUAUCGGUGUCCGGCGAGACUGCCACGAUCAACGUGGAGGAAGGUGGGGAUGACGUCAAGUUAGCACGGCCCUUACGUCCUGGGCGACACACACGCUACAAUGGUCGGGACAAAGAGUCGCCAACCCGCGAGGGGGAGCUAAUCUCAGAAAUCCGUGCGCUCUACCGGGUCUUGUACACACCGGGGCCUUGUACACA